rnacentral:rRNA from 1 species
AGUGAACGCUGGCGGUAGGCCUAACACAUGCAAGUCGAACGGCAGCACACUAAGAGCUUGCUCUUACGGGUGGCGAGUGGCGGACGGGUGAGGAAUACAUCGGGAUCUACUUUUUCGUGGGGGUUAACGUAGGGAAACUUACUCUAAUACCGCAGACCACCUUCGGUUGAAAGCAGUGGAUCUUCGGACCUUGCGCGAUUGAAUGAGCCGAUGUCGGAUUGGCUAGUUGGCGGGGUAAAGGCCCACCAAGUGGACGAUCCGCAGCUGGUCUGAGAGGAGGGUCGGCCACACUGGAAGUGGGACACGGUCCAGACUCCUACGAGAGGGAGCAGUGGGGAAUAUUGGACAACGGGGGCAAGCCUGAUCCAGCCAUACCGCGUGGGUGAAGGAGGCCUUGCGGUUGUAAAGACGUUUUGUUGGGAAAGAAAAGCAGCAGGUUGAUACCAAGCUGUUCUGACGGUACCCAAAGAAUAAGCACCGGCUAACUUCGUG